AUGAGCUGGACUUCAGAGGGACUCACCCAGAGCCGAGCCCAAUUCUGCUCCAAACACCUUCACCACAUCCUCCCCGAAGCGGCCACUCAUCAUCCAGUACGUGUACAGGUCUCCGGUGCUGCAGUAGUCACACACUGCAAGAGGGGGACACGUGGACAACUAGCAACACACACCCAGCAGGAACUCCUGCAACACACACGUUCUACCAAACCACAUACACCAACGGGUGUGGCCCGAGGAGCAGGAGGGUCAGUGAGGAGGACACAUGCCUUCAGGAGCUCGAUGGGUUACAGGCUUCAGAAAAGCACAGAAUGUACGGACUUUCAUGGCUUAUUCGGGCCCGUGCUGGUGCUGUACGAGCUUUGCCCGGUUCCAACACCAUCCAGCCUGCCGCCAUGGGCCGGGAGAGGGUGGGGUGGGCAGGGGGGAGUCGGGGGGAUCUAGUCCGAGAGACUCACUAAUGUACAGAUGGCGCUGCGUCUGCCAGCAGUCCUGCAGGUUGUGAACGAACGGGUGACGGACCUGCCGCUGGAACGCAAGAGUCGGGGAGACACACAUCGUCACCUGGCGGCCAGGUGCCACCGUCACGCCACACCGGUGACACGAACCCCCUUUCUGCUAAGACUCAUGUGAUGAUUGCUGUUGUGGACGUGGCCCUUCAGCACUAGAAGCCGGCACCUCCAGUAACAUCUAAAAGCAGCGUCCGUGUGAAUAUGUGGGUGAAGGACCCACCUGGACGAUCACCUCUUCUUUAGACUGCUCCAGCACGCCGAGUCGCAGGAUCUCCGACUUGGGAAUGACCUGGAAACGGCAAUCAAACACACACACACACACACACACUGCUGCACAGAGCUUCACUGGGAGCACCUGCACCACCUGGCCUUUACCUUCACAGCGUAGGUUCUCUCCCUGGCCUUGUCCUUCACCUUCAGUAUGGGACCAAACGAGCCCUUGGCGAUGAAGCCCAGAACCUGGAGGAAGAGGACACACGGCGGUCAGAAAAAAGGGGACAGUGGUGGCCUAGCGGUUAAAGAAGUGGCCCUGUGAUCAGAAGGUUUAAAAAGUAUUUCAGACAAGUCUAACACUAACACACUAACACACACACACACACACAUAAAUACAUUAAUUCAUCCAGCACUUAACAAGUUCCUAGAAUGUUCUGUUCCUGACAAGUUCGGCCUUAUCAGGGCUCUUAGUUUUAUAAACUCAAAAUCUAUAGAAACCGAAUGAGAACUGCUGGUGUCCUCUUGUAAGUCGCUUUGGAUAAAAGCGUCUGCCAAAUAAAGUAAAGUAAAGUAAAGUAAAGUAAAGUAAAGGUUGCCUCCUGAACCGCCAAGGUGCCACUGAGGUGCCACUGAGCAAAGUACCGUCCCCACACACUGCUCCCCGGGCGCCUGUCAUGGUGCCCACUGCUCACUCAGGGUGAUGGUUAAAUACAGAGGACACAUUUCACUGUGUGCACCGUGUGCUGUGCUGCUGUGCAUCACAUGUGACAAUCACUUCACUUCACACGCUGCUUCCCAGGCGCCUGUCAUGGUGCCCACUGUCACCAAGGGUGAUGGUUAAAUACAGAGGACACGUUUCGUGUGCUGUGCUGCAGAGUAUCACAAUGACGAUCACGUCACUUUCUAGAAAAAAACAAUCACUUUCUUGAGACGCCGUACCUGCAGCUGCUGGUGUCCCGGGACGUUCCUGUGGGGGAACUCGGGCAGGAACAUGCAGAUGAAGGCCGGCAGGUUCCACUCCACCCGCAGCUUCUCCGCUCCGGGCGCGUCUCCAUCCUCGAUCAUCCGCCGCGAUCCGGAGAGGAGGCGGCGGCGCCACCCGGAGGCGCCGCGGAGCCGCGGCUGGACGGGCAGAGAGGACCACGUGACCGCUGCUGCUUCUGGUGAUGGAUCGAGUAGAUCCGCAGUAAUUACGGACUCACCUUUUCAGCUUUGCUGCCAUAGGCUCCCAUCACACUGGGUUCAGCCGCCGGACGUCGUCCAUGUCGCCCGAACCGGGUCGGAACCUGCGCGGCGAUGACGUAGCGGCGCAGGAUUUAAAGCAGAAUAAUCCCCAGGAGCUGAGCCCCGCCCACUUACG
ensembl:lncRNA